AUUGAACGCUGGCGGCAGGCCUAACACAUGCAAGUCGAACGAGUGGCGGACGUGUGAGUAAUGUCUGGGAAACUGCCUGAUGGAUGGGGAUAACUACUGGAAACGGUAGCUAAUACCGCAUACCAUCGGAUGUGCCCAGAUGGGAUGAGCGAGUAGGUGGGGUAAAGGCUCACCUAGGCGACGAUCCCUAGCUGGUCUGAGAGGAUGACCAGCCACACUGGAACUGAGACACGGUCCAGACUCCUACGGGAGGCAGCAGUGGGGAAUUUUGGACAAUGGGGGAAAGCCUGAUGCAGCCAUGCCGCGUGUAGGAAGAAGGCCUUCGGGUUGUAAAGUACUUUCAGCAGGGAAGCGUUACCUGCAGAAGAAGCACCGGCUAACUCCGUGCCAGCAGCCGCGGUAAUUC
rnacentral:rRNA from 1 species